CCUACGGGAGGCAGCAGUGAGGAAUAUUGGUCAAUGGACGAGAGUCUGAACCAGCCAAGUAGCGUGAAGGAUGACUGCCCUAUGGGUUGUAAACUUCUUUUAUAUGGGAAUAAAAUGUUCCAUGUGUGGGAUUUUGUAUGUACCAUAUGAAUAAGGAUCGGCUAACUCCGUGCGAGCAGCCGCGGUAAUACGGAGGAUCCGAGCGUUAUCCGGAUUUAUUGGGUUUAAAGGGAGCGUAGGUGGAUUGUUAAGUCAGUUGUGAAAGUUUGCGGCUCAACGGUAGAAUUGCAGUUGAAACUGGCAGUCUUGAGUGCGGUAGGGGUGGGCGGAAUUCGUGGUGUAGCGGUGGAAUGCUUAGAUAUCGCGAAGAACUCCGAUUGCGAAGGCAGCUCUCUGGACUGCAACUGACACUGAGGCGCGAAAGUGUGGGUAUCGAACAGGAUUAGAUACCCCUGUAGUC
rnacentral:rRNA from 1 species